AGUGAACGCUGGCGGUAGGCCUAACACAUGCAAGUCGAACGGCAGCACAGUAAGAGCUUGCUCUUACGGGUGGCGAGUGGCGGACGGGUGAGGAAUACAUCGGAAUCUACUUUUUCGUGGGGGAUAACGUAGGGAAACUUACGCUAAUACCGCAUACGACCUACGGGUGAAAGCAGGGGAUCUUCGGACCUUGCGCGAUUGAAUGAGCCGAUGUCGGAUUAGCUAGUUGGCGGGGUAAAGGCCCACCAAGGCGACGAUCCGUAGCUGGUCUGAGAGGAUGAUCAGCCACACUGGAACUGAGACACGGUCCAGACUCCUACGGGAGGCAGCCGUGGGGAAUAUUGGACAAUGGGCGCAAGCCUGAUCCAGCCAUACCGCGUGGGUGAAGAAGGCCUUCGGGUUGUAAAGCCCUUUUGUUGGGAAAGAAAAGCAGCAGGUUAAUACCCCGCUGUUCCGACGGUACCCAAAGAAUAAGCACCGGCUAACUUCGUG
rnacentral:rRNA from 1 species